rnacentral:rRNA from 1 species
AUUGAACGCUGGCGGCAGGCCUAACACAUGCAAGUCGAGCGGAUGAAGGGAGCUUGCUUCUGGAUUCAGCGGCGGACGGGUGAGUGAUUCAUAGGAAUCUGCCUGGUAGUGGGGGAUAGCGUCAGGUAAGGGGCGCUAAUACCGUAUACCACCUGAGGGAGAAAGAGGGGGAUCUUGGUACCUAGCUCUAUCAGCUGCACCUAGGUCGGAUUAGCUAGUUGGUGGGGUAAAGGCCUACCAAGGCGACGAUCCGUAACUGGUCUGAGAGGAUGAUCAGUCACACUGGAACGGAGACACGGUCCAGACUCCUACGGGAGGCAGCAGUGGGGAAUAUUGGACAAUGGGCGAAAGCCUGAUCCAGCCAUGCCGCGUGUGUGAAGAAGGUCCUCGGAUUGUAAAGCACUUUAAGUUGGGAGGAAGGGCAGUAAGUUAAUACCUUGCUGUUUUGACGUUACCAACAGAAUAAGCACCGGCUAACUUCGUG